AGCCAGGGCAACAAUGGAAUGGUUUAAAACAAAACAUAUCCAUGUGUUAGACUGGCCCAGUCAAAGUCCAGAUCUAAAUCCAAUCGAGAAUAUGUGGCAAAAUCUGAAAACUGCUGUUCACAAACGCUGUCCAUCUAAUCUGAGCUGGAGCUGUUUUGCAAAGAAGAAUGGGCAAAGAUUUCAGUCUCUAGAUGUGCAAAGCUGGUAGAGACAUGCCCUAAAAGACUGGCAGCUGUAAUUGCAGCAAAAGGUGGUUCUACAAAGUAUUGACUCAGGAGGCUGAAUAAUUACGCACACCCCACUUUGCAGUUAUUUAUUUGUGAAAAAUGUUUGGAAUCAUGUAUGAUUUUCGUUCCACUUCUCACGUGUACACCACUUUGUGUUGGUCUUUCACGUGGAAUUCCAUUAAAAUUGAUUCAUGUUUGUGGCUGUGAUGUGACAAAAUGUGGGAAAAUUCAAGGGGGCCGAAUACUUUUGCAAGCCACUGUAGAAACACAAAUUAACCUAACAUGCAUGUCUCUGAAACCUGUGCAAACAGAAAUGUGAAUUUAAACUGUGUAGUUUGAAUUCACAUCCAGUUGCAGAUAUGAGACAUCUACAAGCUCGUUUUUAACAAAAAUCAACUAACGUGGAACUAUUUUAGGCUCUGAGUGACUCUGACUAAAAGAGAAUGAGCCAUUCUGAAGUGGACCUAAUCUGCUCCUUUCCAUCUCUGCAUUUUUGCUACUUUGAACUCUACUAAAGUAGCUUUGCACUAUUCACUACUGAAAAAAAAUAGCUUGCUUCUCUCCCUAUAAGAGAAAUUUGUUUUGAUUGGCUGUCUCUCACAAAUAGAAGUUUUGAUCAACAGGUAGGAGGUGCUUCUGGGCUGCUGUGACCAUAUUAUCACUAUCCCUCUGUCACUGACAUCAUACUUAGCUGCAGGCAGGUUUUUCCCCACUCUCGUUGUUUAGAGAAGUCUGAGGCCUGAGCUCACGGGAAUUACUGGAAACUGCAUUUAUCCUGCAUGAAGAGUAGAUUAUUAACUGGUGAGUUUUUCUAAAUCUCCUCUUGGACACAAAUUUACCCCUUCAUGAUCUUAUUACACUUAGAUUCAAAUCAAAUUCAAAUUUUAUUUGUCACGUACACAGUCAUACACAGUACGAUAUGCAGUGAAAUGCUUAGACAACUGCUCGUGACCUAAAGGGGAAAAAAAGGAAAAGGCUAUGAAUAAGAUAGGAAAUAAAUAUGAAAAAUUAAAAAGGGUAAAUUUAAAUAAGGAAGGAAUAAAAUAUAAAUUAAGGUUAAAAAUGAAAUAACUGUACAACACAAAUUAGAAUGAAGGGUAAAUUUAACUGGGAAAGAAUAAGAUAAAAUAUAUAAAUUAAAUUAAAGUUGAAAAUAAAUUAACUGUACAACAAAAUACACAAUACACAGUAUAGAACUAUAUAAGAAUGUAUGAAGAAAUAUAAAUAAAUAAAUAAAUAUAUACACAAUAACAGCAGCUGUACAAGUAUUAACUGGAAAUGAAGAAUAUAGUGACCAGUGUUGUGCAAUCCACAUUAUGUCUUGUGCAGUGCAAAUAUGCUUAAAGUGAUUUGGAAGAUUCUUGGUGUAGGUGAUCACUGAGCUCAGGUUUCUCUUAAUUUUCAUGAAAGUUUUGUCGCAUCCAAUUUGAUCAAAUCUUUAUGACCACAGACAAACAGUGAGAUGACUGGACAGAUGCGGGUAUAGGCUGAAUAUCUAUGAUAAAGAAACGGGUGAGGCAACUUCAAGUUGUAUAGGAAGGGGAAAAAACGAUCCUAAUGUAACUAUAGAUCUAUUAUACGGGUUCAUAUCCUUGACACUUUGACCUUGACCUGAGGCAUCUCAGCAUCCAAGUGAUUUCUGUUAUUUUAGUUACGUUUUCAGGGAUUCCUUGACUCCAUAUUAAAUCUUCCUUCAAAAUAAGAUAGUGUGAAACCGAAAAGAACCAAAUUUCUUUUUCCAUCACUGAAUGAUUUUUUUUUUUUAGUAAAAGUAAUUUAUUUUUAUUGAUUUUUUUUUUGCAUAUUUAGAAAAAAAUCCUGUAAUUUUUUGUGCCACACUCCAAAGAGGAAACUUUUCAACAGAACAUCUAAUGAGCAAAUAAACGGGUUUUAAGAUGUCGGACUUUGUGUUUUGUUGUUAGUUUUGAUGAAUUCAGGUGUUUUGUUUUCUGGGUGGGAAGAAAGUCAUGAUGUGUAUCUACUAUCAUUAAAGAACUGUAGAUUACAGUUUAAUUAUCUAUUAAUUUAGAGUAACUUUACCAUUAAACAAUGAAAUGGUGAUUACAUGUUUUCUAACUAAUAAUGAUGCAAUUUGCU
ensembl:lncRNA